UACGUAGGUGGCAAGCGUUAUCCGGAAUUAUUGGGCGUAAAGCGCGCGCAGGCGGUCCUUUAAGUCUGAUGUGAAAGCCCACGGCUCAACCGUGGAGGGUCAUUGGAAACUGGGGGACUUGAGUACAGGAGAGAAGAGUGGAAUUCCACGUGUAGCGGUGAAAUGCGCAGAUAUCAGGAAGAACACCAAUGGCGAAGGCAGCUCUCUGGGACGGUACUGACGCUGAGACGCGAAAGCGUGGGGAGCGAACAGG
rnacentral:rRNA from 1 species